CGGGUAGAGUAACACGUAAACAACCUGCCUUCAGGAUGGGGACAACAGACGGAAACGACUGCUAAUACCGAAUAAGUUCCAAGAGCCGCAUGGCCCAUGGAAGAAAAGGUGGCCUCUACCUGUAAGCUAUCGCCUGAAGAGGGGUUUGCGUCUGAUUAGCUGGUUGGAGGGGUAACGGCCCACCAAGGCGACGAUCAGUAGCCGGCCUGAGAGGGUGAACGGCCACAUUGGGACUGAGACACGGCCCAGACUCCUACGGGAGGCAGCAUG
rnacentral:rRNA from 1 species